rnacentral:rRNA from 1 species
GACGAACGCUGGCGGCGUGCUUAACACAUGCAAGUCGAACGGUAAGGCCCUUCGGGGUACACGAGUGGCGAACGGGUGAGUAACACGUGGGUGAUCUGCCCUGCACUUCGGGAUAAGCCUGGGAAACUGGGUCUAAUACCGGAUAGGACUCCGGACUGCAUGGUCUGGGGUGGAAAGCUUUUGCGGUGUGGGAUGGGCCCGCGGCCUAUCAGCUUGUUGGUGGGGUGCUGGCCUACCAAGGCGACGACGGGUAGCCGGCCUGAGAGGGUGACCGGCCACACUGGGACUGAGAUACGGCCCAGACUCCUACGGGAGGCAGCAGUGGGGAAUAUUGCACAAUGGGCGCAAGCCUGAUGCAGCGACGCCGCGUGAGGGAUGACGGCCUUCGGGUUGUAAACCUCUUUCAGCAUCGACGAAGCGAAAGUGACGGUAGGUGCAGAAGAAGGACCGGCCAACUACGUGCCAGCCGCCGCCGUAAGAC